GUUAGGCAGGAGGACUUCUAGGGACAGAUAGGUCCCAGGAAAGAAGGAAGGAGGGGUCACCAGCUGGAUGCAGAGGAAGCAGGGCAUUCGGGAGGAGAGGUGAAAAGCUGUGAGCCAUACGGAGUGAUAGAAAUGGGUUAAUCUAAGCUAUACGAACUAGUUAGAAACAAGCCUAAGACCGGGCUUUCAUAAUUAAUAGCAAGUCUCUGUGUCAUGAUUUGGGGGCUGGAAGUCGAAAAAAAAAAAAAGCCUGCUACAAACAUGGGUUUGCUAGCAGUGAGUCUUCAGGGACAACGGGAAAGCUGCAAGACUAAAACUAUGGGUAGAAAAAAAAUGAACAUGUUGGCCAAGGUCUAAUAAAAGGGUAAAUCAGUGUCAUCCACAGCACGGUUCUGGAAGCCCCGUCUCUCUUCUGGAGGGUACAGUGGCAGUGCUGGGAGCUGACAUAGUGGAGCAACCACCCAUGCUGGCUGACUUGUGAGCUUGGACAUGUGGGUCCCUGUCUGGUGGCACUGUUUGGGAAGUUCUGGGACCCUUGAGAUGCGACCCGACUACCAGAAGGGAUCGCUGAGAACAAGACUUGAAAGGUUACCUCUGCCUCUGCUUCCCGAUUCUUCAAAAGGAUGGAUUUUCCACUCAUUCGGCAAGGUGCCCGGCCAGGCCAUUCCCUGUGCCUGCUGUAAAGGAGAGACAUAUGCUGUAUGCCUGUGCUGGUAAAGGAUUUCAUUUAGAAUUGGCAAGUGACUUCCUCUCUUAGUCUGGAAGACCUGACAACAUCUCGUUGUUUUGACUGCAUUUCUCUGACAACUGUCAAGUGAACAUCUCUUGCAUACUAGACAACCCCCCCCCCCCCGUGGUGAACUGCAUAUGUGUGUGUGUGUGUGUAUAAUGCCUUGCCAGUUUCCCUACUUAGAAUCGGCCCUGCUUCCACUGAUCGUGUAAAAACAUUUCCGUAUUAUCCCUGACAAGAGAGAGAAAGUCACUGCGGUCCAGUGUGCCCAUCAGCUGGGAGCAGUGUGGAAGGGACUGCCACUUUCGCAGCUUUGUCCUGUUGUCUCUUGGCCCUCAGCAUCCUAUGGUGAGAGGAAGACAGUGACAGAACAGGAGAGCCUACACCCAGAGGAGGAAAGCAAGAGUCUUCCAAAUCUCUCAGCCCACCGCUGCAGAGCCCCAGCCCCUCCACCAGGCCCCACCUGCUGCCCCCCCCUCCCCCUGCAGCGGGUGUGGUCUCCUUGGCCAGGCCUGAAGGGAUUAUCCGGGAUCAAUAUUUGAAAUAGUUGAUAUUUUUUUUCAGUCUAA